CUGACCGAGCAACGCCGCGUGAGUGAAGAAGGUUUUCGGAUCGUAAAGCUCUGUUGUUAAGGAAGAACGAGUGUGAGAAUGGAAAGUUCAUACUGUGACGGUACUUAACCAGAAAGGGACGGCUAACUACGUGCCAGCAGCCGCGGUAAUACGUAGGUCCCGAGCGUUGUCCGGAUUUAUUGGGCGUAAAGCGAGCGCAGGCGGUUAGAUAAGUCUGAAGUUAAAGGCAGUGGCUCAACCAUUGUAGGCUUUGGAAACUGUUUAACUUGAGUGCAGAAGGGGAGAGUGGAAUUCCAUGUGUAGCGGUGAAAUGCGUAGAUAUAUGGAGGAACACCGGUGGCGAAAGCGGCUCUCUGGUCUGUAACUGACGCUGAGGCUCGAAAGCGUGGGGAGCGAACAGGAUUAGAUACCCUGGUAGUCCACGCCGUAAACGAUGAGUGCUAGGUGUUAGGUCCUUUCCGGGACUUAGUGCCGCAGCUAACGCAUUAAGCACUCCGCCUGGGGAGUACGACCGCAAGGUUGAAACUCAAAGGAAUUGACGGGGGCCCGCACAAG
rnacentral:rRNA from 1 species